AGGCCGAAAGGCGUAGGUGAUGGACAACUGGUUGAUAUUCCAGUACCACUACCAUCGUUAUUAUCGAUGGCGUGACGCAGGAGGAUAGUGUGUGCUAGCUAUUGGAUGCUAGUCUAAGCGUUUAGGCAGUGAGAGUAGGCAAAUCCGCUCUCAUAAUGCUGAGGCGUGAUGGGGAAGGUUCCACGGAACCGAAGUACAUGAUUCCACGCUGCCAAGAAAAGCGUCUAGAGAGAGAAGUAGUGCCCGUACCGCAAACCGACACAGGUAGGUGAGGAGAGAAUCCUAAGGCCGGCGGAAGAAUUACAGUUAAGGAACUCGGCAAAUUGACCCCGUAAGUUCGCGAGAAGGGGUGCCUACGAGAGUAGGCCGCAGAGAAUAGGCCCAAGCAACUGUUUAGCAAAAACACAGGUCUCUGCUAAAGCGUAAGCUGAUGUAUAGGGGCUGACGCCUGCCCGGUGCUGGAAGGUUAAGGGGAACACUUAGCGCAAGCGAAGGUGUGAACUUAAGCCCCAGUAAACGGCGGCCGUAACUAUAACGGUCCUAAGGUAGCGAAAUUCCUUGUCAGGUAAGUUCUGACCCGCACGAAUGGCGUAAUGACUUGGGCACUGUCUCAACUGUAAAUCCGGCGAAGUUGUAGUGCGAGUGAAGAUGCUCGCUACCCGCGAUUGGACGGAAAGACCCCGUAGAGCUUUACUGUAGCUUAGCAUUGAGUUUUGGUAUUGUCUGUACAGGAUAGGUGGGAGACUAGGAAACCAGGGCGUCAGCCUUGGUGGAGUCAACCUUGGGAUACCACCCUGACAGUACUGAAAUUCUAACUGGCGGCCAUGAAUCUGGUCACAGGACAUUGUUAGGUGGGCAGUUUGACUGGGGCGGUCGCCUCCUAAAAAGUAACGGAGGCGCCCAAAGGUUCCCUCAGAACGGUCGGAAAUCGUUCGAAGAGUGCAAAGGCAGAAGGGAGCCUGACUGCGACACCCACAAGUGGAGCAGGGACGAAAGUCGGGCUUAGUGAUCCGGUGGUACCUCGUGGGAGGGCCAUCGCUCAACGGAUAAAAGCUACCUCGGGGAUAACAGGCUGAUCUCCCCCAAGAGUCCACAUCGACGGGGAGGUUUGGCACCUCGAUGUCGGCUCGUCGCAUCCUGGGGCUGAAGUAGGUCCCAAGGGUUGGGCUGUUCGCCCAUUAAAGCGGCACGCGAGCUGGGUUCAGAACGUCGUGAGACAGUUCGGUCCCUAUCCGUCGCGGGCGUAGGAAAUUUGAGAGGAGCUGUCCUUAGUACGAGAGGACCGGGAUGGACUGACCUCUGGUGUACCAGUUGUUCCGCCAGGAGCACAGCUGGGUAGCUAAGUCGGGAAUGGAUAAACGCUGAAAGCAUCUAAGCGUGAAGCCAACCUCAAGAUGAGAUUUCCCAUAGCGUAAGCUAGUAAGAUCCCUUGAAGAACACAAGGUUGAUAGGUCGGGGGUGUAAGCAUGGUAACAUGUUCAGCUGACCGAUACUAAUAGAUCGAGGGCUUGACCAA
rnacentral:rRNA from 1 species